AGGUAUGCUUAGGGAGGAGCUUGCGUCACAUUAGUUAGUUGGUGGGGUAAAGGCCUACCAAGACUAUGAUGUGUAGCCGGGCUGAGAGGUUGAACGGCCACAUUGGGACUGAGACACGGCCCAAACUCCUACGGGAGGCAGCAGUAGGGAAUUUUCGGCAAUGGAGGAAACUCUGACCGAGCAACGCCGCGUGAACGAUGAAGUAUUUCGGUACGUAAAGUUCUUUUAUUAGGGAAGAAUAAAUGAUGGAAAAAUCAUUCUGACGGUACCUAAUGAAUAAGCCCCGGCUAACUAUGUGCCAGCAGCCGCGGUAAUACAUAGGGGGCAAGCGUUAUCCGGAAUUAUUGGGCGUAAAGGGUGCGUAGGCUGUUAAAUAAGUUUAUGGUCUAAGUGCAAUGCUCAACAUUGUGAUGCUAUAAAAACUGUUUAGCUAGAGUAAGAUAGAGGCAAGUGGAAUUCCAUGUGUAGUGGUAAAAUGCGUAAAUAUAUGGAGGAACACCAGUAGCGAAGGCGGCUUGCUGGGUCUUUACUGACGCUGAGGCACGAAAGCGUGGGGAGCAAACAGGAUUAGAUACCCUGGUAGUCCACGCCGUAAACGAUGAGUACUAAACGUUGGGUAAAACCAGUGUUGAAGUUAACACAUUAAGUACUCCGCCUGAGUAGUACGUACGCAAGUAUGAAACUUAAAGGAAUUGACGGGACUCCGCACAAGCGGUGGAUCAUGUUGUUUAAUUCGAAGGUACCCGAAAAACCUCACCAGGUCUUGACAUGCUUCUGCAAAGCUGUAGAAACACAGUGGAGGUUAUCAGUUGCACAGGUGGUGCAUGGUUGUCGUCAGCUCGUGUCGUGAGAUGUUGGGUUAAGUCCCGCAACGAGCGCAACCCUUAUUGUUAGUUGCCAGCACGUAAUGGUGGGGACUUUAGC
rnacentral:rRNA from 1 species